rfam:Gossypium hirsutum cultivar TM-1 unplaced genomic scaffold scaffold3860.1, whole genome shotgun sequence
GCGCCUGUAACUCAAUUGGACAGAGUAUUUAACUACGAAUUAAAGGGUUGGAGGUUCGAUCCCUCUCAGGCGUA